GAACAGGAGAAGGAACUCUCGUAGAAGAAGAGUAAAAUACGCCAUCUUGGAUCACAACAGAGAAGAAGGAGUUCAAUCAAGAAUGUUUGCUAAAGAUAAAAGCAGUCUGAUAGUGAGUGAGACUGAGACAGAGGAAGAGAUAUUGUUUGAAUCAAA